GAACCAGGAAGCCGGUGCGAAUCCGGCACGGUCCCGCCACUGUGACCGGGCCCCUUCCCGUACGGACUCCGUACGCGGACGGCGGCCCGGAAGCCAGGAACUG
rnacentral:ncRNA from 4 species